CCUACGGGAGGCAGCAGUGGGGAAUAUUGGACAAUGGGCGAAAGCCUGAUCCAGCCAUGCCGCGUGUGUGAAGAAGGCCUUCGGGUUGUAAAGCACUUUCAGUGGGGAAGAAAGCCUUGGGGCUAAUACCCUCGAGGAAGGACAUCACCCACAGAAGAAGCACAGGCUAACUCCGUGCCAGCAGCCGCGGUAAUACGGAGGGUGCGAGCGUUAAUCGGAAUUACUGGGCGUAAAGCGCGCGUAGGCGGUCUGAUAAGCCGGUUGUGAAAGCCCCGGGCUCAACCUGGGAACGGCAUCCGGAACUGUCAGGCUAGAGUGCAGGAGAGGAAGGUAGAAUUCCCGGUGUAGCGGUGAAAUGCGUAGAGAUCGGGAGGAAUACCAGUGGCGAAGGCGGCCUUCUGGACUGACACUGACGCUGAGGUGCGAAAGCGUGGGUAGCAAACAGGAUUAGAUACCCCAGUAGUC
rnacentral:rRNA from 1 species